GUCGAGCGGACAGAAGGGAGCUUGCUCCCGGAUGUUAGCGGCGGACGGGUGAGUAACACGUGGGUAACCUGCCUGUAAGACUGGGAUAACUCCGGGAAACCGGAGCUAAUACCGGAUAGUUCCUUGAACCGCAGGUUCAAGGAUGAAAGACGGUUUCGGCUGUCACUUACAGAUGGACCCGCGGCGCAUAGCUAGUUGGUGGGGUAAUGGCUCACCAAGGCGACGAUGCGUAGCCGACCUGAGAGGGUGAUCGGCCACACUGGGACUGAGACACGGCCCAGACUCCUACGGGAGGCAGCAGUAGGGAAUCUUCCGCAAUGGACGAAAGUCUGACGGAGCAACGCCGCGUGAGUGAUGAAGGUUUUCGGAUCGUAAAGCUCUGUUGUUAGGGAAGAACAAGUGCGAGAGUAACUGCUCGCACCUUGACGGUACCUAACCAGAAAGCCACGGCUAACUACGUGCCAGCAGCCGCGGUAAUACGUAGGUGGCAAGCGUUGUCCGGAAUUAUUGGGCGUAAAGGGCUCGCAGGCGGUUUCUUAAGUCUGAUGUGAAAGCCCCCGGCUCAACCGGGGAGGGUCAUUGGAAACUGGGAAACUUGAGUGCAGAAGAGGAGAGUGGAAUUCCACGUGUAGCGGUGAAAUGCGUAGAGAUGUGGAGGAACACCAGUGGCGAAGGCGACUCUCUGGUCUGUAACUGACGCUGAGGAGCGAAAGCGUGGGGAGCGAACAGGAUUAGAUACCCUGGUAGUCCACGCCGUAAACGAUGAGUGCUAAGUGUUAGGGGUUUCCGCCCCUUAGUGCUGCAGCUAACGCAUUAAGCACUCCGCCUGGGGAGU
rnacentral:rRNA from 1 species